rnacentral:rRNA from 1 species
UACGAAGGGGGGCUAGCGUUGUUCGGAAUUACUGGGCGUAAAGCGCACGUAGGCGGACUAUUAAGUCAGGGGUGAAAUCCCGGGGCUCAACCCCGGAACUGCCUUUGAUACUGGUAGUCUCGAGUCCGGAAGAGGUGAGUGGAAUUCCGAGUGUAGAGGUGAAAUUCGUAGAUAUUCGGAGGAACACCAGUGGCGAAGGCGGCUCACUGGUCCGGUACUGACGCUGAGGUGCGAAAAGCGUGGGGGAGCAAACAGG